UCUUGGUAAGCACCACAAAGAGAUUAACACCCACUCUUUUCCUUCCUCCAGUACCCUGUUGCCUGCUUUCAAGAGGUGAAGCCACUCUGCCUGCCAGACCACAUUUUGCUGGGCCGGAACUGGAAGAUUAAUAAAAUGUUUGGACCCAUAUGACAAUGAAUCAUUUUUGGCUGUUUCUGAAAAAAACCACUGAGAAAAUGUCAUCUCCUGAAGACUUGGUCUGACAUAAAAGAAGCUCUCUGAAUUGAAAGGAAACUGUGGUGCAUGACAUUGCUGGGAACUGCGAUUCCUCUCUUGGAAAGCUACACUUGACUGCCACUCUUUUUCCAGGAGAUUCCACAAUCCAAUUUGA